GACGAACCGUGCGAACGUUGUUCGGAAUUACUGGGCGUAAAGCGUGCGUAGACGGCUAUCUAAGUCGGGUGUGAAAGCCCCGGGCUCAACCUGGGAAUUGCAUUCGAGACUGAAUAGCUAGGGUGCGGUAGAGGGAAGCGGAAUUUCCGGUGUAGCGGUGAAAUGCGUAGAUAUCGGAAGGAACAUCAGUGGCGAAAGCGGCUUCCUGGACCAGCACCGACGUUCAGGCACGAAAGCGUGGGGAGCAAACAGG
rnacentral:rRNA from 1 species